GCGCAAAAAGAGAUUCUGUUUACCCUACUUCUUCCUUUUGAAGACAUGAAAGAUGAGUGGCCCAUCCUAUAAUGGUUUGGUUUGGUUUGGUUGGAUUGCGUUUUUAAUGCUUCUUUGGAAGCCGGAGCUGGUAGCGCAAGAGGACAACCAACCAAUAACCAACCAUUGGGUGCUCGGCUCUAUAACAACGUAAAAGGAAGAAGAAAUCGCAUUUAAGAAGAGACAACAUUUUUCAUGAAUUCGGACCAAACAAUCAUUCUCCCGACCAUCUUUGUUUGCUUUGUUCACUUCACUUUACCUUUUGCCGAUUUUUCUUUCAUAUUAUUAUUUAAUAUUACUAAUUAUUUUAAUAAUAAUCACUUUAAAUAUACAAUUUUCAUGCUUUUUUUUUAAUUUUGUUUUAUGUUACCAUUUACUAAAUUAAAUAAUUAGCUUUGAAUUUUUUUCCAUAUUUGAUUGUGUUAAUUUUGUUUUAAUCUUUUUUGCAGGAAGAAUGAACUGAAGAAAAAAUUUUAUUUUCUAUGUAAUAUAGAUGAUAUGAUAUUCAAAAAAAUAUUAUUAAAUGACUUGUUCUAUUAUUCCAGAUUUCAAAACACCCCAGUCAGAUUUUUUGGAUGAUUUACGGUGUUUUGAUUUUGGUUUAAGGAGAGUACGAAUCAUUUCAAUAUUGUUUGGAAAGAUACGUGGUAUAAGAUGGUUAGCUGUUCAAAGCAUAUUAGAUAUUUUUGAAUGAUUAUUUACUUUAAAUUUUGCCUCGAAA